rnacentral:sRNA from 1 species
UGAUCUACGCGUAGCCACAAGAGGGUCA